rnacentral:rRNA from 1 species
AUACGGAGGGUGCAAGCGUUAAUCGGAAUUACUGGGCGUAAAGCGUACGUAGGCGGUCCGUUAAGUUAGAUGUGAAAGCCCCGGGCUUAACCUGGGAACUGCAUUUAAAACUGGCGGACUAGAGUUGAGUAGAGGGGAGUGGAAUUUCAGGUGUAGCGGUGAAAUGCGUAGAGAUCUGAAGGAACACCAGUGGCGAAGGCGACUCCCUGGACUCGAACUGACGCUGAGGUACGAAAGCGUGGGUAGCAAACGGGAUUAGAAACCCGUGUAGUCC